GUUAUGCAAAUGAGCGACUAUAACCGGUUGUUUGUGUACUUAAACACACAUGAUGUAUCAUUGAAAACGUGUAGGCAUUGUAUGUCAGUGGAAAUACUAGACACAACAUCCUAGCUGGUUUUCCAAUUUGUCCUACAGACUAUGAAAACACUGCUGUAGUUCUUUGAUUCUUUGAUAACUUGUACAUGUUGUUGUGAUGUAACAAAUUACUUUUCAUAAACUACAUGUACAAAAUGAAAGACAGAAGGUUAGAAUGCAGAAUUGGUGAAGAUGAAGGUUAUAAUUGUGAUCUACAUAUUGAUUAAUUUGAAGCAGAAUUUGUUCUUAAGAGUGAAAUAAAAAAAAAAACAGUGUGUUUUAGAAAGAUGUUCCACUUUUACCACAACAACAAAAAUAUUCAUUGUUUGAUUGAGAGAUAAAAAUGUAAAUAAAGACACUUAAUUUUCUUUUUCUA